rnacentral:rRNA from 1 species
AAUCAACGCUGGCGGCGUGCCUCAGACACGCAAGUCGAACGCGAAAGCCCCUUCGGGGGCAAGUAGAGUGGCGCACGGGUGAGUAACACGUAGGUAAUCUACCUUUGGAUUGGGAAUAACCACCGGAAACGGUGGCUAAUACCGAAUAAUGCAGCGGCACCUAAUGGUGACAGUUGUUAAAGCGGGGGAUCGAAAGACCUCGCGUCCGAAGAGGAGCCUGCGGCAGAUUAGCUAGUUGGUAAGGUAACGGCUUACCAAGGCGAUGAUCUGUAGCCGGCCUGAGAGGGCGGUCGGCCACACUGACACUGACAUACGGGUCAGACUCCUACGGGAGGCAGCAGUCGGGAAUUUUGGGCAAUGGGCGAAAGCCUGACCCAGCAACGCCGCGUGAAGGAUGAAAUCCCUCGGGAUGUAAACUUCGCAAGAACGGGAAGAAUAAGUAAGAGUUAAUAUCUCUUAUGAUGACGGUACUGUUUGUAAGCUCCGGCUAACUCCGUGCCAGCAGCCGCGGUAAUACGGGGGGAGCAAGCGUUGUUCGGAUUUACUGGGCGU